rnacentral:snRNA from 1 species
AGCUUUGCGCAGUGGCAGUAUCGUAGCCAAUGAGGUUUAUCCGAGGCGCGAUUAUUGCUAAUUAAAAAUAAAUAAAUAUAAAAAUUAAAAAAUUAAAAAACCUGGUGAUUUUGAGCGAUGAUUUUGAUGAUUUUAAUUGAUUGCUUUGUGGUA